rnacentral:rRNA from 1 species
AUUGAACGCUGGCGGCAUGCCUUACACAUGCAAGUCGAACGGUAACGCGGGGCAACCUGGCGACGAGUGGCGAACGGGUGAGUAAUGCAUCGGAACGUGCCCAGUAGUGGGGGAUAGCCCGGCGAAAGCCGGAUUAAUACCGCAUACGACCUACGGGUGAAAGCGGGGGACCGCAAGGCCUCGCGCUAUUGGAGCGGCCGAUGUCAGAUUAGGUUGUUGGUGAGGUAAAGGCUCACCAAGCCGACGAUCUGUAGCUGGUCUGAGAGGACGACCAGCCACACUGGGACUGAGACACGGCCCAGACUCCUACGGGAGGCAGCAGUGGGGAAUUUUGGACAAUGGGCGCAAGCCUGAUCCAGCCAUGCCGCGUGCGGGAAGAAGGCCUUCGGGUUGUAAACCGCUUUUGUCGGGGAAGAAAUCUUCUGGGCUAAUACCCCGGGAGGAUGACGGUACCCGAAGAAUAAGCCCCGGCUAACUUCGUGCCAGCAGCCGCGGUAACAC